UUUUUUUUUUUUUUUUUUUUUUGGUAUGUGGCCUAACACUAGAAAAGUUAAAUCUUGAAAGGGUAAUAAUUUAUAGAGGACAUCAGGGGAAAGAAAUAGUUUUAAAAGAAUAAUACAAAAACAAUCUCCAAAUUCAUCAAAUUUUUUUAAUCCUUAUGUAAGUGUGGGAUAGAUACGGUAUUGGAACGAGAAGAAUGUUUUGGGACAGUACCUAAUUGUUGAUUUUGACCACUCAAAUAAUGUGUGUCAAAAUCUCACCAGGGACGAUCAGUUGACCCAUAAAAGAAUAGCAUGAUUUGGGUUUUUUGUUUUUUUGCAUCUAGUGCUUAACUUUUGUAUUUUUGUCCUAUUUAGAGGAAUUUUGUUUUGUGAAUAUUUUGAGGUUUUUGUACUCUUUGAGACGUGGAUAUUUUCAUGGGGUUAUUGAUUAAGCCAUUUUAAAUCGGCAAUUUAUUUGGUCUUGUUCUCGGUUGUUUUAAAUUUACAAAAUCUGAUUAUAGAAAGUAAAAGUUACUCUUUGGAUGAUUAUAGAUUUUAGCUUUUCGAUCAUUAAAAAAAUCUAUAAUCAAAAUACAAAUGCAAUGCAUAAUAUCACAAAAACUGAUUAUUCAAAAUCAAAAUCUACAAUCAAUUAAAAUAAUCAAUCAAUAACAAACCCUAUAUAUAAAUGCGUGGGUUAUUGAUCUUGACGUGAGAGCAGGUACAGUUAGCUCAAACAACAGGCAUAAGAAAGAAAAUAUGGCAGGGGCAAUAUCAUUUUGCAGUAGUGGGAGGAUGAAUUAAAAAGGAAAAAGUAAAGUUAUUAGCGUUCACCAUUUCUUAAUUGGUAGUCAAUUACAUCUUAGUUCUUAUCUUUGAACUAAUCAAAAUAAUAAUAAUAAUAAUAAUAAUAAUAAUAAUAAUAACCGUAUCUGCUAUCACCAUCCCCAACCCCAAAAAACAAAAAAAAAAAAAAAAAAUUCUUCUCUCAAGUUGUCCAAAUAGCAUUUAAAUGUGCAGAGAACUACUUUGAACUAAUCAAAAUAACCGUAUAUGCUAUCACCAUCAUGAAGUGGACAUUUUUAUUCCAUAUACCAUAUCUCGUUGCAUUUUCUAUUUCCAGCAGCUCAACCUGUACUAAUAUGCAUAUAUCAUACUCAGCUAAGCAACAAAAUUAGAGGUAAAUAUUCACAAAUACCAAGUGUUUCAAGAUGCUUCUUCAAGGUGGAGGAUUGGAUUGGGUGGCAAGUGGGAGGGAGCAAAAGGAAAAAAAAAUGCUUCUUCAAGAAUUUCAAUAGCAAAUGACUUCUUGGUUCGAAUUACAUGGUUCAAUCGACUGAUUUACCGCAACAUAUAUUUCAACUAAGAAAUCUGAUCUAACAUGUUGUUGGUGGGUCAUAAUGUACUUUAUCCUUGGUUAUUAUCUAUAGAAAGCAUUAUAAAAUAUUCCUUCAGCUAUAGUAUAGCAUAACAAGCAAAGCUCCAGAAAUCAAAGAUGCAUACAAAGAUAACUAAUUCUUGAAUAAGAUGCACGUUAUAUCUCCAAAGACAUCUUGCAUUGAGAAGAAAAUAACCCCACAAAAUCCAUGCAGGAAAAUGACAAAUAAAAGCAUAGAAUACAACGACCUUUUCCUCAAUAAGCAUGCCACAUUAUUCAUCAGCUUGGCAGUUGGCAGAACUCAUGAUUUGUAAAGCUUUAAACUUCGUCCCUCAUCGAAGAUAGAAAAUCACUAGUGUAGAAGCCAGUAGUGUUCGUGGAGAUUCCAGCUGAGCAACAGAAGGGAAAUAUGGCUCAUGCUCAUAUUCUAAACCCCCUCAUCACCACAACAAACCCUAAGAACGAUAGGAGCGACCUCUAUGACUCAUUCGAGCUUCAAGCUGUUAUGAAACAGCUUAACCGUGCCAUUGAGGGUUCAAAGGCUCCUUUGUCUCCCAGCUCCUACUACCUCCUACUACCUGAAUUCCCCUUUUUACAGACGACGGUUAGACCAUAUCUACAAAGAAAAUGCUAAAGCACCUAGGAAAAUAUCAGGUUCAAUGAACAACAAUGGAGGUGUCGAGAUGAUGACAACCGCAAGAAACUGUAAGGGGCUGCAGCACCUAUGGAGGAAGGUGAAACAAACUUUUGUUGCGAGAACCAAAUUUCAAGAAAGUUGAAGGUCCCUGUAUUUCUUGAGCAAAUUGUGCAAGCUCUAGGGUUCUUGUAUUGUAUCAUAAUAAUAGUCCUUUUAUACCCUAACCACAGUUCGAAUACAGUACGAGUGUUUGUGUUUUUGUGCCAUAUCACCGUUGAACAAUCUCAAAAGGAACAUUAAAGGAUUCAAUGUCUUACCCAGAUUCUGCUAUUUAAAGCACUUUUUGAGUCCUUUCUUAAGCUUGAGCUUUUGAGAGAUUACCCAGUCCCGGCCAGCAGGGUGAUUGACAACAAAAAGAGAACUCAACUUCUAGUUAUUUGGGGGAAAUUCCGACGGAAUCCACCAUCCCUCCAACUAAAACCACGGGGGCUUGGAUUGUGACAAAUGAAUGUACAGUAUACAAAGUUCUGGAAUUAGACAUGCAAUGCACAAUCAUGAUGCGAAGAGAUGUUUGAAGUGUAGGUUCGAAUGCUAGAUAGUAGUACACGAGAAUAGGUACAAUCGCAAAGCCGCCACAACAAAAUGCCUCUUCUUGAGAAUGUUAAUCAAAGGGGUACACAAACAAGUUCAAGCUAGAAGCAAUUAACAAUUCAAAAAAUUAAAACUACAUUUUACACAAGAUGGUAUCUGUGCAUAUAUGCAGAAGGUGAUAAGACGCUUUGAAACCUAUAUUACAAAAUCAGAACAACUAUUCUCGUGAAAACGUUGAUCCACGAAGCAGGUAUGCUUGUAUAGCUGAACAUGUUUACGUGUAUAUAAAUCUAGGACAGUCUCAGUGCCAUUUCUUGAAGAAGCGAUCGCUUUUGUGAUGCAUUAAUUACAUGGUUGGAUUCAGCAUUUUCAAGCACAUCAGUAAUUAUGGCUGCCGCAUGACCCAGAGGUUCUUCUGCUGCUCUUCUCAACAUAAAAGCCUGCAGCAGAAAGGGGAAUGCAAUAUAAGUAAUAAUCUCACUGUUCUUUUUUCCCCUGAGAAAUUGGAGCUUAUCCAACACUAUGUUAAACAUCAGCACACAUGCAUUUUUUUCUUUCGCAAUUUUGAGAAAGCACUGAUUAAAGAAGCCACCAUAGUUUCUGCAUGGACUUCUAUAAUUCUAGGUGUUCAAAAAAGUCGUUCCUGUUGGUCCAAUUUCCCUACAUGCAAAACGUAUGUUGCCAAAUGCAGAAUCCAGAAAAGCUUAUCAUAUAGGCCAUACCCCUCUAUAGGCAAGGCCCUGCUACAACUUCCCCUGCUGCUUUUAGAUUUUACCUUUCCUUUUCCCUUUUUUUUUUUUUGGAGAGGCGGGGGGUGUGGUGGGUGGAAGUGUCGUUAGUUUUUUCCUCUUGUAGAAGAAGGGAGUGGGGCUGGGGAAGGGAUUGGGGGGAGAGUUGCAUGCCAUGUGUAGGAGCUGCUUUGAUUUCAAGUUACAAUGACCUGGAAUCUCUUUCUGAAGGAGCUCUAGAGAAGAAGAGGGAAAGAGGAAAUGCAAGGAGUGAAACCUGUCCGUGGUGUGAUAUAGCCAAUGUACACGUUCGCUGAAACCAUGGUUCUCCAUCUAUUUGUACAGGCAAUGCAGCAAACAGCUGGAUCUUGAUGGAUUGCCCCUGAGCAAGUCUCCGUGCUCUGGAAAGACCAACCUAUUUUUAUAGAUAAGGAUUAGAUCCAUUACCAGAAUUCGAACUCCAAGAGGGUCUCAAAAGAGAAUAAAUUGGUCCUAAUCUGAUAUGCAAGUCAAAAUGUCCUAUCACUGGGCAGCAACAUUUUCCGUCUGCAUGUGUGAUACAGACUUCAAGUCACAACUGCCAUACCUGGAGCUUUCCAAGAUGCCAUGUUCCUGAAAUGCUUACAACCUCGAGCAUCUUAUCAUGCAUUGAUUGAGGAUCAAAAUUAUCUUCUGUUUCAUCCUCAUUUUGCCACAAGUCUACUCCACCCAUAUAGCUUCCAAUGUUUGCAACUAGAACACCUUCAGCAUCCUGCGAAUGAUCACAAAUAAAACACCACAUUUUCAUAAUAUAAAUAAAACAAGAGGAAAAAAAAGGAUGAACAAAUUACAUCAAAUUCUAAUUAAGCAGACAAGAACCACAAGCUAGAAUAAAAGGGCAGAAAGGAAACAGUUGAAGCAAGUUCAUCAUUUGCAAGCUAGUACCCACCUCAGGGACCUCAAUCUCAACACCGUCAACUUCCACACGAACUUGCCAGGGAAAAUCUGCAAAGGUCCUGUCCAUAAUACUUCUUGCCCCUUCUCUUGCAUAAAGAACUUUGUUCAUGAACUGGAAUUACAGAGGCAAUAACUUUAGUUCCACGGGAAAUGCAAAAUCACAAAAUUAUCAAGAACAAAUGAUAGUCAUAGUAGGAUAUGACUUGAAUGAUUUUCACACAGCACUAUCCUUUUCAAACAACAAAUGAUAAUCUAUCCAUAAAAAAAAUCACCGUAAUUGAAUACAGAAAAGUACUUUACAAAAUAGAACAAAUAAUUAAAUCUACUCACAUACGUAGUGGAAGAAGCAUAAGUAAAGGAAUCAGCACAUGACAAUGGAAAGAAGUUUCACAUCAGUUUUCCAUUCACUUCCUAAUCCCUCCUUCCUCCUUUCCACUCCCUUACCAUCAAAACAUAAAAUAAUAAUUCAUAAAACCAAAAAUCCUGUGGAAGUCAAAAGUGGGCAAGGACAAAGAAUGACUAAAACCUUAGGGCAAAAGAAGGGAUUCAGCAAAGUUUAUUUGUUUGGAGAUGUAACCACCAAAAAAAAAAAAAAAAAAGCAGGCUUUUCUAAGCAAAAAUUCUCUGGAUACUUAAUACAGGCAAUAUCUCAAGUAUUUUGUCCGUAAUUGUUGAGAAGAGACAAAAGGCGGCAGAAUGGAACAAGAAGUAAAACACCAGCCAAGGCAAUCGAAUUCUUUUUGGAGUAUACAUUGUUUUGCCUUCUGUGAGCUUGAGAAAUGCUCACACUGGGUGGUUGAUCCUAAUGAAAUCUAAGUGGAAUGCCUAUGAGUUCAACUUCUUGCUCUUAGUUUUCAUUCUACUAUUGCUUCCUCCUAAACUCCAACCAAUUCCCUCUCCUAUCUUAGAUUCUCAAAACUUUCUAUCAGUUAAAUUUUCUACGUCUAAGGGUUCUGAAAUCAGAUUUUAUCCACUGGUGUUUCUUGGAGCUGCAUCACCAAGUCCAAAUCAACUUCUACCAAUCAAUAUUAAUCUUCAAACAUCUGUGCAUAUUUAGGCAUAAAGCCCUGUUGCAGCACCGCAUACCAUGCAUACUGCCAUUGCCAUUAUAUACCCAUGAAAUAUGUCAGACAAAAGGAGAAGAAGGGGGCCCACCGGGGGGGUGGUGUGGGAAGUUCCCUUGCUUCACAAAAGUACUACUCCUAUGAGUCUUGUAAUCAAAUAUGGCAAUCUGUUGGACACUAACCUAUUUCAAGGGGCUGACUACUCCAAGCAAACAGCACUACAGAUUCUCCACUCGAACAUAAAAGUCCAUCUUUAUUUGGAGUUCUAUAAUGAUUUUUGCAAGUUAAAGAUCCAUAAUCAUGCAGUUAGCAUGGUCAGUUCUUUGUGAAGAAAGGCCAAAGUACAAAAGUAAAAGACACCAUUUCAAGUUUAUAAUCACUUAGUCCUACCACAUUAGAUAUAAUCAGCAUGAUCCUACCACAUUAGAUAUAAUCAGUGUGAUUGGUACAUCAUUCUUAUGCUACGUAAAAACAAAUUUAGGAGACAAACCAGCAACUUGGAUCUUUAUCUAGAGUUCAGUAGCUAAUGCAAGCUAUAGUGUGAUGUAAGCAAAUUUACCUGGUUAUAAAACUUUUCCGGAUUUUCCUCUCUCAGAUUAUGUAUGUCCAAGGCAACCUUAGCAUCACAACCAACCCCUGUGGCAAAACUAGCCCAAGUUCAAACAACAAAGACGAGAAAACAUCCUUGAAGAAUCACAAACCAAAUACACAAUCCAGGUUGCAGGGGAACCUAAAAAAUUCCAAUAAGAUUUAUAACACAUGUUGAGCUUUCACAAUGUCUUCUUUUCAAAUGAAAUUCCUACUUUUCCCCAGCCACAAUUUCAAAAGAAAUAGAAAGAUAAAAAUAGAAAACAAAAUCACCUUUAAACAAUUAAUGCACAAGGGCAUACUGAUACUAAAAGAAAUAAGUCAAGCAUCUAAAAAACCUGAUGUCACCAGUCACAACCCAAUAAAAAGAGAGGGAAAGAGACAGAAAGGAUUAAUAGUAGGCUUCCCAUGCAAAUUUGAUGAGUUGCAUCUUCAGAUGUAGCAUCAGCAAUACUAUCAUCCCUAAAAUGGGUAAUUCAUCGUGUCUGGAGCUAUUCAUGGUAUUCAGUGAACAAAGCUACUCAUUUAGUAGCCCAAGAGUAUAAUGUAGUACUUCUCAUUUUUUAACUGUCUUAUAUGCUAUCAAACACAUACAUAAACAUAAACUCAUCAACAAAGAGAGCUGCCAACUUACCAAGAUAGUUAUUCAUGAACUUUGGAGCUUGCAGUGGUUUUCCCUGUUGGUUUAAAAUUGAAACCUUCCAUCGAUCAAGAAUGGUAACCGCCGCAUUUUCUAUGUGAUUUAAUAAUGUGCAAAGGCCUCCUUGUCUCUCAACCGAACCUAGACCCCCACCCCAUGAAAGAACUCGAGCCAAAUCAUUUCCAGUUCCUGCAGGAAGAAUAGCCAUAGGCGGAGGAGAAACAAAAUUUUGCUUGUCGAUGGCAUUCAAAACCCAGCCAACAGUGCCAUCUCCUCCACAAACAAGGACUCUGAAGUGGGGUACCCUUCUAAAUAAAUAUAAACCAACUUCAGGUCCCUGUGCAGAGCUAAGCUCAAAAACCUGUAGCAGAUCAUGGAGAACCAUACAGCAUAAUUGUAUCUUAUGGAAAGAAAAAAGGGGGAAGUUUGGGUGGGCAGGAAAAGAGGAAAGCAACACAUCAUUUCAACUACCAGACUGACAAAGUGUCUUAACAUCUUGGCGAGCACCAGUCCAAUAAAUCAUCAUUAAAAUAAAGUCUUAGAUACUGGAAAGCAACGCUCUAUGAUGGUAAGUAAAAAAAAUAGAAAUCAAAUAAUUGAAAAAAAAAAAUUAUGCAUUCUUCCUUUCUCAUGUGAUCCAAUAUUUAAUAUGUCUGAGCAAUUGCAGUUGCCACAGAACAAUUUGCUCACUAAACUACAUCGCCAUUCAUUAACAUCUACAACCCUAAAUAUUCCAUAAACCCUGUUUUUACCACAUGGUAUUUUGGGGUAUGAAAAAUACCACCACCAACACUGAGUAGCCACAAAAUAAAGAGCCUAUUUUCAUUCUCUGUAAUCUGUAUGAAUGCAGAAAACAAAAUUAUGAAAAGCUAGUACCACCCAACUAAUGAGUUUCAGCUUUUUUAGCUUUCAAUCGCAUAAAAGCUAGACCAAAAAAAAAAAAAAAGCAGCUUGGUCAGCAUAUUGUAACUUUUUUGUUUCCAAUGGAAGAUGGUCAUAAACUUGGAAACUCAAUUUUAAAUUGAGAUCCAAUAUGGAAUAAAACGGCCAACAUGUUUCCCACUUUGUUUGUGAACCUUUAUACAGUAUUAACUCUCAACUAUUCCAUUCUUUUCAGUCAAAUGCUGCCCUAUAUGAUUCAACAGUGGAAGGACAAAUAAAGGGGGAAAAUCAUGUUCUUAUUCAAUGAAAUACUCAUUUGGCACACUUCAACAGUAUGCUUAAAAGGAAGGAAGCGGGUAGUCAAAAAAGGCAAGUAGGGGUAUAAAAAAGAGGAUAGUGUGUGGAUAAAUAUGUAAAACCAUUUACACCAAAUUCUUUGAAGGGUAAUCUGGAAAACCAUUUACGCCAAAACCUUUUUAGGCUUUAUACAUACUAAGAUGAAAUUGGACAAACUCGAUCUACCCACAAGCAAACGCAUGCACACGUACACAGAGCACAGAGCGGAAGAGAGAUUAGCUGAGUGCAAAACUCUUACUUGAACAGGAUUCAGUAGAAUGUUCAGUCGCUGACGCAGUGAAUCUCCCCUUUGGGCUCCGCUCUUCUUAUUUAUGAACACUAGCAAUGGUCUUGCAUCUGAAGGCAAAUCAACCAAUUCAUAGCUUUGUCUCAUCCUAGCUAAAUGCAACUCAUCCUUUUGAUUGAUUGACGAACUUCUUUUAAAGCUAGGCUGGGACUCCAUCUUUUUUACUCCACCAUUCUGUUGCACAUCUGCACUGUCUGGGCUUACACCAUUGUUGCAGUUUUCCUCCACUCCGUGCAAACCAUUAACUCGUGGACUAUCAGCUGCGCUUUCUGUGGAUGCGUCACUGAUAACACUACUAUUACCUUUGUCUGCAGUGGCUUCAUGAUUGUGUUUAUGUUUUUUACCUUGACUUCUUAUACUGGCACGGACAGAUGACGCAAUCUCAUUGGCACCAUGUGUAAUAGAGCUUAAAAUUCGACCUGCAGAAGUCCUAUUCAAUUCCUUAACAAAAAGAGGUGAUAGAAUAAGUCUGCUAAAAGGGCCCAAAUCGCAAAUGUCACCACUCUCAUUAGAGAAACUACCGUGACAGUCAACAUGUACCAAGCGCUGACACCAUAAACAACACCAUAUAGGGGAGCCACCAAGAAAAGAACUACUGCAUGGCUCUUCACAAUAGCUACAGAAAGAUGAUUCAUCAGGUUGAUCCAUAACAUCUGCCCAGCGCAAUGCCCACUGAUGCAUCACUUGCUCAUAUCCAAGCAUAGACACACACUUGCAGCUAAGAUGAUCCUUAUGUGCAUUUGACGAGCAGCUAAGAUGAGCUGCUGAACCACAUAUGCUGCAACGAUGAAUAAAACUAUCUGAAGCCCCAAUGGGACCAAGAGCUUGUGAAGGUGACAUGGAUUUUAAGCACACGCAGCAGUUUAAACUUUUCCCACGAUAUCCAGAUUCCAAAAUCCAUGUAUGAGGAGCCACAGGAACCUUGGUUCUUGCUUUUGGGUUCUUCUUUGACCUGGAAAUGGCUUUCAUCCAACUCAAAUUGAUAUUUCUUCUCCACUGGAAAGCUGUGUAGAAUAUUGUCAAAAUUCCUACCAAACCAGCAAUAAAGCAAGAGAGGACAAAGAGGCGAGACUCUCCCAUAUCGGUCGGAUUUUUGCUGAUCCAGCUGGGAAGCUGGAACUCAGACUCCCUAUAGUCCUCCAUUCUUUAUAUCCUAUGUAACUAAUUCGAGUAUAUUCUCAUGGUGAAAACAAGACAUGAACUAUGCUGGUUCUAACAAAUACUAGUCACAUGGCAAAACCCCAAAAUCCUAAAGUAGUAUGAUAUCAUUAAAGUUCGACCACAAUCUUAUACAAUCCAGCAAAACCUACAUAGAAACGAUCCCAGCAGAACUUAAUUUAUGAAAUUCCAUGGUUGGACACCACACAGAUAAGUUCGUUUCUUCAGCAUUCUGGAACCACCUAUAACUCCAGCAAAACCCAAAACCCAUUAUCAGCUCCCGAAUCGGAUGACGAAAAAGCAGAUAUUACCUGCACAGUUCAUCUCUGUCAUUUUAUAUUCAAGUAAAAACGCAUAAAAUCAACAUAAACACCAGAAAGAACAAAUAAAUCCAUGCAAAAAUGUGUCUAAAUCACAUUAGAGAAAAAUAACAAGCCUCAGUUCAGAUAUAGGGCUUUUCUAAUUGAUCCCUUCUUUAUUUUUCGCUUGGACACGGGCCAUGUUCAAAUUUGUCUUCUCAUAUUGAAUCUAAUGAACAACUACAAGACUUACACUUGACUUACAUUUCUUAGCGGAUUUUCCUGAUUUUAUGUUUCAGCCAGUCUCAAAUAUGAAUUGCAGGUGAUUCUAAAUCAAAGAACUAGUUUCUAUUUCAAUUCUUCCAUCUUACCUCCCCUAAUUUUGACAAAUCAAACUACACAGUACCGCUCGACAAAAAUCCCGCCUCGUGACUAUCCAAAUUUGGCAAAAAAAUGCAACACCCUAUCAAAAAUUUGGACCUCCUAGACAAUAUAUAUUGCCCGAGACAACAUUUGUAUUAGAACAAAAACCCAUAGUGCAAAUAAAAAUAUAGCAAUUACAUCAUAAAUUUCCAACCGAAAAAACAAAAUAAGAGCAAAAGAUACAAUCAACAAAUUAACUCACUUGUUUCCAAAGCAACAAACCACUAGCUCAAAAACCCCAAAAAAAAAAACUUAUUUACACCUCAAAAAGACGCAAAUUAAGAACAAAACAUGCUACUGUAUAAGUAAUUUUUAUCUGAUCACAUACACCAUAAAAGAUAGUCUAAUUAACUUCCAAAAAAAUCAAAAUAAUUAAAUACAUCGUAGAAAAGCAAAUAAAAGAAAUAUAUAUCAGAAAAAAAUACCUAUAUUGCCGCCCGCCACGGCAGUCUAGUAUUAUCCGAAGAGCAAAGAUCACAUCCCUCCGGUUAAAACCGCAGAAAUCCGAAAAUAAUUGCAACAGAGAAAUAAAAAGGCAAAAAUCGAAAGAAAAAUGUGCAGUUCUGAUUGGAAUAGUGUUUGAAUUGUGUGUCUCUAUGAAGAUUUUUUAGGUUUUGAAGCAAAGCAAAACCGGAAUCCAAAAACAAAAGAACAUUUAUUAUUUUAUUUUAUUUUAACAAAUGUUUUCUUUUUUUCUAUUUGUUUAUUUCUGCUUUUGUUGUUCGAGAGUUGAGAUUCAUUUUGUUAAAGUCUAGAGGACGGAGAGCUCGUCAGAUUCUGAGAUGUAUACGUGGCACCUAAGGAGGGUCGUAAAGUGAAGGAAGUGGGGCCCAGUGUCUGAAUCAACUUUGGCGUCUCUUUGGAUCCUAACUCCCCUAGCUCCUAACCUGUAUGGUUUUUUUUUUUGGUAAAAGAUUGUUUGUGUUGUGUUUUUUUUUUUGGGUAUUUUUUCAAAAAAUUUUGCUAUAGCACAUUUUUUUUAUAACUUUCAAUGCCUAUGAGUCAUGGUUAAAGGUGUCAAAAUGUGUGACUCCAACAGAGUUAUGAUUAGAUAUAUCAAAAUGGGUGAUUUGAACGGAUUUAAACGGGUAGUGAGUAUAAUGAGGUCAACCCAUUUAUAUCAAUUUAAUAAAUGAGUUAAAAUGGAUCAAUCCAUUUAUACCAAUUUAAUAAAUGGAUAAAUUGGAUAUGGUACAUUCAAUCAAUGUUUUAAAAAUCGGACCGUUAAUUGAACCUGUGAAGUGAAAGAGUCGAGAUUCAACCGGUCGGACCGGUUCAACCCCGGUUCAAUAAAAUUUUUAAAAAAUAAUUUAUAUAAAUAUAUAUAUGCACAAAAUAAGACAUAUAAUGGACUAAUUUAAUACUUUAUAUGAUGAAAAGUUUACUAUUUUUUAAUAACUUGGAUUUUUAAAAAUAAAAAUUUUAAAUUAUAAGUUAAAACAAAUAAAUUUCAUUUCAAUUUCAAUUAUAUCUAAAUCCAACCCAAAAAUAUCACAAUAUUUUGAAAUUAUGCAAAAUUCACGUCUAUGAGAAUUUAGACAUUGUGAACUUAAAUUUUAAUUUACGCUUUGGGAUUUAGAGAUUGCAAUUUAAAAAAGAAAGUUUGGAGUUCGAAGGAAGUUAAGAGAAUCGAAAAUAGAAAUGUAAACUUAAUAAGAAACAAAAAAUGAGAUAAAAGUGAGUGGUUGUGACAUUAAAUAAUUUGGGUUAAAGAAAAAUAAUUCUUUUUUAACUUUUUUCAAUUUAAUGGACAAAAACAAAAUUAAAAGAUGGAAGAAAACAUCAAUAAAUUAAAAAUAAAGAGGUUUGAUUAAAAAGGGAGUGACAAAAGAAAAGAGGAUAGCGAGAGAGAGAGGGAGUUGAAAAUUAAAAAGAAACAGUCAUGAGAGGAUAAGAUUUUGUAAGAAAAAUGAAAAAAAGAAUUAUGAGUAUUGAAAUAUGAAGAAAAAUUUUUUUAAAAAAAAAAUCAAGAUGCGAAUUGGAGAAGCCGAGUGUGAGAAACGGAGGAAGUGAAAUUGAAAUGAAAUGUGCCGUCUGCACUUUCUUAAUGCUAGGGUUUUUUUAUUUAAUCUGAUUUUAUUUUUUAGUUAAGUAUCAUUCUACACAACAAUACCUCGUCCUUGGGUUGUGGUGUAGUGGCAACGUACCUUAUUGUUGGCUCAGAGACCCGAGUUUGAAUCUGGCAAUCUCCAUUCUUGCUAUUAUUUUGAAUUUGAGGUUAUAUUGUUUGAAAAUUUGAGAAUCGCCGGUUCACAGUUCAUACGGGUUUUAGCGGUUCGUCCGAUUCGCGCGGUUCGUAGCGGGUUUCCAUUACCAUCCGGGUUUGAUAUUGGACUGGACUGGUAGCAUGGCCAAUUCGCGGUCGGACCGGUUGAACCGGCCGGUCCGGUCCGGUUCUGAAAACAUUGCAUUCAAUGUGUGUGCAAUAAUAAAAGAUUUACAAAUAAAAAAAUUUUUUCUUUUUUUAAAUGAAAAAUAAAUUGGAUUUUCUAAUGGUAAUGGACAAUUGUUAAUGCAAUUAAGUUCCACCCCAUCUACUAUGUAUAUAUACUCUACUCAGUUACCAAUUGGCUGAACAGUGGUCCUUUGUGGGUCCCCCUUAGAUUGCUUGAGGGCCGGUUUUCGAUUAACUCAUGCGUUUGUUUAAAUUAUGUGGGUGUGUGUGUGGGUUAUUUAUUGAUUUCGAUAAAAAAAUACUAUGUAUAUAUUCAUGGUAAGUGUUAAUAAUUAAUUUUAUCUCGUGCAUUUGUAUACUUUCUCUACUUAACUUUUAUUUUUUAAAAAAUCUAAUACUUGAACUAGAUUUUAAUGGGCAAGAUAGACACAAUAAGUGAAUAAAUAAAUAAAUAUAUAUAUGUAUAUAGCAAAUAGAAGUGACAAAUCACUAACCUCACGAAGAUAGUGGCAAUCAAAGAAGAUAUACUUUAAGUGGAGCAAGUUUGGUGAAAAUUAUGUAUAAUGCAUUCCUAUUGUUUGAAAACUAUCAGCUAAUCCAUUUUAAUUGUUUAGACAUCGUCAACUUUUCUAAAAUCAAAAGAUAGUUGCCAUUAGAUUUCAAGAAUUAUUGAUCAUAAUUAUUGUCUUUUGUCGACUAAUAGAUCGUUUGUUUUCAACUGGGUAAUCAGACCAUAACUCGUCGUGAUGAAGAAGCAAAGAAAAAGAAAAUGAAAUAAGAAUUCUUGGCAAGAAAUGAUCAACUAAAUCCACUAUCGGUCCACACGAGUUCGUGCACCUGAUCAGCCAAGACAUGCAAUGUCAUAAGGGUUGUGCUGUGAAAACUUAGGAUCGGUAGUAGAGGAAAUUUUGUUAUCCAACUAAUUAGGAAUGUUGAAUGGGAAGGAAAUUGUCUCAUGUGACUCCAUGAGGGUGCACAAAAUGAUUAUAGAGGAAGCAAUUGUAUUGUAUCAAACCUUGUGAUAUCAAGCUAACGCAAAACAAAUAUGAUUUUGACCAAAAAAAAUAGAGGCUUUACCUGAUGCAACCCAUAAGAGUAAAGCCAUAGAGGCUAAGAUCAACAUAUGGAACUCCUUUUAGAGCCUUGAUAUGUUUGUUAAGUGUUUAGUGUCUUAUAAAUAAUCUAUAGAAUGCUCCAGGCAUUGUAGAGAGUCUAGAAGCCUUGUAUAUAAAAAACUUAGGGACUAGAAUAGUGCGAAACCUUCUACAAGUUUUCACUUGUGUAGUAAAGAUCAAGGAACAUUUAAGACGAUAGCGGAAUAUUCUAGGGAGCAAGCUUGUGUAACUUAGGAGUAGAAAAGUCUAGAACAAUUUUGAAUCUUGAAAGCUUGCCUAUAAAUAGGGGAAGACCUCUAUACUUAUAGCUAUUGAAGUAGUAAACCAUUCAAGCAAUCAAGAAAUAAUGAGUUCUUUUGAGUAAAAACCUUUCUCUUUAGCUUUCCUUUCAUAGUCUUCACUUUACUUAAGUUUUCUAGUGCUUCCGCACAACCAACACUACUUGGACACACGAGGGGUUAAGGCUAAACUAGUGAUCUUCUACGAUAGUCGGUCUGUGACACUUGGAUGUGCAAAUUUAUUUAUUUUUCAAUGUUAUAGUGCCAUAUUUAAUAGAAGUAAACUCAGUGGAACACUAUAAAUAGGAAUAACUUUUUAUGUACUGACAAUGUAGUGAUUAUUUUACACUAAUAAUUUUGAAUAUAUGUCAUAUGUGUAUGAUUUGAAUUUAAAAUUUAAAUUCACAUUAUGUCAUAUGAUCUAAACCUACUAAUGUAGGAAAAAAUUAUACACCGGAAGAAUUGUGCUCUUAAUGGGAGAAACAACAGGAGGAUAACAAUACACAACAUAAGAUAUUAAAUGAGGGGAGAGAGAGAGCUGGUAAUCAACCUCUUUCGCCGCAAGAGGAUAUAUUUGAAAUAUAAUAGUCACAUUAGGAAAAGUAUGCACACAAAAGACAAUGAGAGUGUUUGGAUAGGCAGUUUUUGGAUUUUUUCACAAAAUAUGUCAAAUUAGUAUUUGGAUAAUAGAGAAGUAGACCCAAAUAAUGUUGUGUACAUUUCUACAACAAAACUCCCAACAUAGAGAUUCUUUGGAAACCAAAACAACGGAUGCUUUAGGUUGAAGGCCAUGCGGACAUGACUAGGUAAACCCAUUCCAAACAAAUUUUGCAUGAUGGCCUACAAUUUCAAAUUUUGUACCGUUGCUCCUUCUGUCUAAGUAAAGCAAAUCUAAAGCUGCUCCUACCAAGCCAGCUUUCAAAGAAUUUAUUCCACUGACUGAAACCUACACUUAGCAAUUACUUCAUCUUCUCCGAGCAACAACUACAAAAGCUGUCGUUAUCAACCAAGCUGAGUUUGCUGCUACCAACAUAUGCCUAAGGAAUUGAUUCCUCUGCCAUGUAGUGAUAGCAUAUUUGACAUUCAAAAGUGAGUUUGGGAUUUCGAUGAGUGCUAUAAAGGUGAGGCGUUGGGUUUAGAUCUAAAAAUACACAAGAGCUGCUGGAGAAGGAGUUCUUCUGAUUAGGAUUGGUCGCAACUUUCAUCCAUUAUUUUGCUUUUUUUGAGCUCUGUCCUGUGGUUGGAAGGGAAGGAGCUAAUCAACCAAUAUUUUCCAAUUACCUUGUCCUAACACUAACCCAAUUUUGUGCCUUACUGUGGUUGGCAAUUUCAAAUGGACUAGUUAUAUUGGUUUUACAAUUUGCUCACUUUGAUUUUGGUAGUUUCUUGUUAGAACAAACCAAUUACUGCUGCUGCUGCUGCGUAUGUGUUGAACCGGAAACACAUGAAAUUAGGGUUAGCAUCAGACAUUCUCCCUAUUGUAUGCAUUUAUAUUUUAAUCAUGAAUCAUGAAUUGAUAUUCAUGGUUGUGUAAUUUUUUUUGUGACUCCAGUUUCUUAUUCACCAUCCUUUUGCACUUGAAGAAUUGGUUGGAUAAGUAGUUUUAAUUUUGCUGUAAGGCAUGCUGGCUUUUCAAAACAAUUUGCCUGUGAAAUUUUAUACAAUUAACAUACACAUAGAAUAAAGUGUAACUUAACUGACAAAAAUUGUAUACAAUUGACAUACACAGAGAAAUUUUUUCAUAUGUUCAAAAAUUUAAUCGGUGUUCUAGUGUGUUGCCUGUGUUAUGAAGUGAUAAUGUACUUAGACACCCACUUCGCAUAUUGCUUCACAUCUCUUCGUUUGACUAGCAACUUCAAUAAUUUCGCUUCUUUCUGGAUAAAGACAGAAAGAUUGUUGAUUGUAUUUAUGUUUUUGACUAGUAUUUAAUUGUUUCGCUUUAAUGAACUACUUAUGGUCAUCCUGCUGUGGUUGUUUUAUAUUAAUUUUUUUCCCAUAAUCUCCCAAAUUGUGAAGUUGUAUGUCUGAACAAAUAGAAGUUUUCAUGCCCAUGAGCAAAUCAAAGCAAUAGAGUUCAAGCGUCAGUGAGUCUUUCCCCUAUCUCAGUAGCUUAGUACACAUCAUUUCUCCAAAACACUAACCAAUAAGUAAAACUCUGUUAAUAAUUUUCCUGAAUUUUGCAAAAUCCCCUUCCAGCCUUGCUUCUUCUAUUAGUGCCCAUUUCUCUUGUGUCUCUAACGACUUUCACGUCAGCCUACAAAACUGUUAGGAUCAAGCGCUUACCAUUGCACUAAAAGCUAUAGUUUUUAGUGAAUGUGCAACUUUAUUUCCUUAACCACAAUGGUAGCGCAAAGCACCGUACCACGCUCGGCCAGCAUGAGAGGCUGCACUCUUGGGUACCACGGACUGGACGGUUAGUCCUUUCGAGUCGGGAUCUGAGGGAUGUUGCUGAUUAGACCAAUAAUCCCUCCUCCAGCAACAGCCAGGGAGCCUCGAACCCGCGACUUCGCUUUGAUACCACUUGUUCGGAUCAAGCGCUUACCAUUGCACCAAAACAUAUAGUUUUUAGUGAAGGCGCAACUUUAUUUCCUUAACCAUAAUGGCAACGCAAAGCACCGUACCACGCUCGGCCAGCAUGAGGGGCUGCACCCCUGGGUGCUACGGGUUGGGCGAUUAGUCCUUUCGAGUCGGGAUCUGAGGGAUGUUGCUGAUUAAGCCAACAAUCCCUCCCCCAGCAACAGCCAGGGAGAUUCGAACCCGCGACCUCGCUCUGAUAUUACUUGUCAGAAUCAAGCGCUUACCAUUGCACUAAAAACUAUAGCUUUUAGCGAAGGCGCAAUUUUAUUUCCUUAACCACAAUGGUAGUGUAAAGCACCGUACCACGCUCGGGCAGCAUGAGGGGUUGCACCCCUAGGUAUCACGGGUUGGGCUGUUGGUCCGUUCGAGUCGAGAUCUGAGGGAUGUUGCUGAUUAGGUCAACAAAAACUACUUCGAAAUAAGUAAUUUUUAUGCUUUGUUUAGCAGCUCUGUUAUUGUGCAUACAAUAUAUUCGCCUAGUUGUGGUACUUAUCAAUUUGUCUAUAGAUGUUUGAGAAAAAAUAUUGGCUAUACUGGGAAAUGGAUCUCUAUGUCUGCACCUACAUAGAGUGGCAGAAAAACAGGAAAUGGGAGUCAAUCCUAGCACAUUGGCUAACUUCACUGCAUUGGCUAACUACUUGACCCAAGAGUGUGGCCUCAGUUGCACUGGAAGCCAAUGCCAGUCCAAGUACUAUCGAAUGGUGAAGAAAUGGAGGUUGUUCACUCAUCUCCGGGAAGAUUCUGCCAAGCCAAAAACUAAGAUAAGGUGGGAUAUUGAGUAUAAAUGCUUCUUAGCCGGAAUAGAUCAAUGGGUUUAUUUAUAUUAGGUUUUGAUGUUUUUACACUAUAUAUACUCCAUUAUAUAUGCUAACUCUAAAAUUGUGUAGUACUUAGACGACACUAUUACAUAAUUACACUUCCAUUUUGUGGUUGUAUAUACGCAAUUAUUUUCCGCCACAAGUUGGGAAGGGAACAACACAUGAUUAUGCAUUUUCCUUUAGGCAUUCAUUUCAUUACGUUUGCCUAAUGUGGUGUGUUUGGAGGUGGCAGGUUUUGCAUGUAUUAAGCUCCUUGAUGUAUGCAGUUUUAUUUUCAUAAAAUAAUUGAAGAUGUUGAAGCAAGGCACAUGUACAACUCCAAUUCAUUUAAUUACUUGCUUAUGGUUGCUUGUAUCUGCACUUAUUAGUUAGGAGUGCUACGUUCAUUUGUAUUUUGUGGUUAGGACGUUAAAUAGUCAAUUUUUUGCAAGUUUCUAUUUUCACAGCUGCUGGUAUUCUUAGUUUAAUAUUAUGAAAAUGCAGUUAAUUGUCAUCCAACUUCUACCAAAUUGUUUUGACUAUGUACUUAUUUCAUUUGCGAAUCUCCAUCAUUUUCUUAAUUUCUUUUUGCCCAACUUUAUGUACAUUGACAUAUUGCCAAGCUGUGGGAUCACACUUGCAUCUAUUGUUGUGGGACUUGAAUUGCUAUUUUGUCUCAUAUCACAAUGUACUCGAUUCCAUAUACAAUGUGUACCUCACAGCUUCUUUCAUCAUUUAGAUAAACAAGCACUAUCUGGACUUCCAACAUUCAAAUAGUGCUAAUUUGGUGAUGCAAUGGGAUAAGGUGAUGAAUGGUAAACAUAUCACUGGCGAUCGAGCUCAGUUUUUAGUACAGCGCCCGCCACAAUAUGUGUCUCCCCAAGUGAGGAGACGUAGGGGGGAUAGUGAUGCCAAGGAGAAAAGCGUGGCUUCAAGCUCCGUUAUCAACCCUCUACACCACUUUCUUUCAUCUGACGAUGAUGGCUGCCCCGUUGCAUGAAAUCUUAGGAAGCAUUCGAUGUCCAGUGGUGCUUACAAUUCUGAGAAGGAUGGAUCCAGAGAUUAAAAAUCUCGAUAGACACGUUCGGAUAACUACUAAGAAGCACUUAGCAAUUUUAAUAGAUUCUCCUCCAUUGUUUCACAUGAAAGAGAGGCAAGAGAGAAAUAUUCAAUAUUAAAAGACAAGAAAAUUGUCAAGAGCUUAAAUUUGGAGAAGCAGCUACAUAUGUUUCUAUUGAAAAAGUUGCUAGAUGAAGAGUUCCGAGUUUUGUUCCUUAGGUUCAGUGACAGUGAGCAGGUAACUUGGAUUGAGAUAUUCAUCAUCUCGAAGAUGGAAGGGAAGUGAGACAGUACAAAACUUCUGUUGCCUGUAUUAAUGGAUUAUUUUUAUGUUGCAAGACUUUUAUAAUUUAUGGUUAUUGGCUAGUAAUUAUACUUGUUAAUGCUGUGGCCAUUCAUGGUUGUGCAUACAACCAGAUUUUUCUUCGGUUUGCUAUGGCCAAAUAUAUGACAAAUAUAUGUAGAGUAAUGUUGUGAUGCUCCCACGAGCUGCUUUUAUUAUUAUUAUUUAAGUGAACAAGUAGUGCCGAUUUUUUUUCUAUUCGGCAUUUCAAAGUGCCAUGAGACGUUGAAAGAGUUGAACGUUUAUUGAUUUCCAGUUGCUAAUUUGCUAUUGUAUAUUUUUUGAAAAUUUGGACGUUCAAUGUAGUAGGAUACAUGGGAUUAGUUCAUUUUUUUUAAUGCAAUCUACAGGUUACUCGGUGGCUUUAAUUAAAAGGCUCCAUGUACGUAUAGCCCACUAGCGAGAUAUUAAAUAUUAGUGAAAGCAUUAGUAAGGCACAUGUUUUGCAUUACUACAAUAACUUGAAUAGCAAAGGCAUGAAUCAUUUUUUAAUUGACGAAUUUAAUAAGAUGCUUAAAAUUAAAUUAUACUAACUAGUUUCGGUGCUUGCUAUGGGUCAUCAUAGACCUAAUUGAAUCAAUAAAAAAUGUGGCCUGUGCACCAAAGAACAUAUCAUCACCUCUUAUCAAAUGUCGUUGUUCCCUUUGUCUUUUCUUAGAUAACAUAUAUGUCCAGGUUGCUGUUUUUCAAAAGAAUUUGGUAUUACAUGUUCACUUGGCCACUAACUUUUAAUUCAUGAAGAGAUGAAAUCAAGAAAAUCAAGUGGCCUGAAAUAGCAUAGACAUAGAUCAAGUCUCAGUAUUUGGAUAAUACACGCAAACGAUAACAACAAAAGUGAUACAAGCUCGACCCAACAAGAACCUGUCUUAAAGAAUCAAGUUGAUCAAGCAGCGGAAGAAUCUAUUUUAAUCAGGUUAUGGAACAAUAACUAUCUUCCUAGAUCUAAAGAAAACCCGUCUCUAGAAAUCUAGUGAAUUGGUUAUUAGUUUGAAAGAACAAGAUGAUGUGAUCAUCUUGCCUUGAACACCACAAGUAUUCAAGCAAAAUACUUGAUACAAUUUAAGAAAAAACUCAAGUUCUAUCAAAAAACUCUAUAAAAGGGGAAUAACUCACUUUUAUUUUAUUAAUUCAUCUAUCAAAAGUUGUCUUACAAUGGAAUAGAAGCGACUUAUUUAUAGCAAAAACCUAAACUACUAAGACUAAUCCAAUUUUGGAUAAGGAUUUAGUCACUUAUUUCUCUAACUACUUUUAAAUGGCUCAAAUAGUUCACAUAGUUAGCCAUAUUUAUUCAUGAUAAUAAUUAACUAACCAACUAAACAAGAAAAAAUCAAGCAAAACAAAAGAAAUUAAAAACCCAAAAGUCACAUAGCUGGUGCUCCAUCGUCUCCAUGACUUCAUGUAUUCCAAUAGUCUUGAAUAUCAUGAAUUGGGUUGAAAAGACUUUGAAGCAUCUUGGCACGAGCUAGUAAUGGUCCUGCUACUCAUAUCAUUUCCCUCAUUUUGAAAGUUAUUUGUUCUCGAAUCGAGAUUUGGCCAAAAGAAACACACAAGUGUAGCAAUCAUGGAAGACUUUUCAUGUGGUGAAGGGGGAUGGAAUUGGUAAUGGAAAUAAACUGAAAAUUGGACUCACAGAUAUUCAAAUUAUUGGUAGACAGAAUUGCAAUUAAAGACUAAAACUCAAGACACGAAUGUUGAAAUUUAAAGGAGUUUAGAAAUUCACUCUAUCCGACUAGAAAACUUGACAUAGGAAAUUUACAAUUGAGCAGAUUUUUUUAUAGCUAAAAUUAGAAGAUAGAAUUUCUGAAAAUUUUUCUUUUUCCCACACAAUUAAGGAUUGAAAAUAACAGAUUUGGUAGACUCCUAAAGAUACUAGGAAUUGGACAACAAAGAAAAGUUAUGCACUAUGGGAAAAGAAAGUUAAGGAUUUACUAAUCUUAAGUAGACUAGAAAUUGGAAAUUCUAACGACUCUUCUACCACUUAACCAUGAAUGGAUACCAAAAACGAAGAAGCAAACACAAAAAUACAAUCUGAAAUUUUUUUAAUUUAGAUGAACAGUAACUUGGAUGAAUAGCAAUCACUACAGUACCCAUGAACAAUACCCAAUUUCUUUUUUUGACAACUCAACAUAGGAUUACGACUUCACUUAGAAGAAAUUUAAUAAGAGUUAAACUCUUGAAAAAUUUGUUUUAAAAAAUGUAAUCACACCAAGAAAUUUCAAACUCGAUCAAUUAAAGGGGUGAGUUAGACUCAAACAAUAAAAUCAAUAAAACAAGAAUAAAAAAAAUUUUGUUUGUUUUUUAAAUAAAAGGUGGCUAGAGUUUUGGUAGAAAAAUAAAUAGAAAAAUAAGAAAAGAAAAGGAUAUUAAGUUGAAUCAAAAGUCAAAACUCUUAUACCAGAUGAUACGAACUCGACCCAACAAAAACUUGUCUUGAAAAAUCAAGUUGAUCAGGUAGCGGAAAGACCUGUUUUGAUCAUAUUAUAGAACAAUAACUAUCUUGCUAGAUCUAAAAAAAAUCGUCUCUAGAAAUCUAAUGGAUUGGUUAUUGAUUUGAAAGAACAAGACGAUGUGAUCAUCUUAUUUUGAACACUACAAGUAUCCAAGCAAAAUAUUUGAUACAGUUUAAGAAGAAACUCAAGUUCCAUCAAAGAACUCCAUAAAUGGAGAAUAACUCACUUUUUAUUAAUUCAUCUAUCAAAAUUUGUCUUACAAUAGAAUAGAAGAGGUCUAUUUAUAAAUAAAAUCUAAACUACUAAGACUAAUCCAAUUUGGACAAGAAUUUAGUCACUUAUUUCCCUAACUACUUUUAAAUGGCUCAAAUAACUCACAUAGCUGGUCAUAUUUAUUUAUAAUAAUAACUAACUAACCAACUAAACAAGAAAAAAUCAAACAAAACAAAAGAAAUUAAAAAUUCAAAGGUCACAUAGCUGGUGCUCCAUCAUUUCCACGACUUCAUGUAUUCCAAUGGAAUCUUGAACAUCAUAAAUUUGGUUGAAAAGGCUCUGAAACAUCUUGGCACGAGUUAAUGAUGGUCCUGCUACUCAUACCAAAAAGUAAUACACAGUAAUAACGCUUGAGUAGUGUUCCAUUUCCCUCUGUAUUUUUGCACAGUAAUAUACCGGUGAACGAAUCUCCUCCGUUUGAGAAUAUCUUCAAAGGCUACUCUGUGAUCUUUAUCAUAUCAAAAGAUAAGCUCUUUAGACAGUAAGUUGCACCCUCCGAGUAAGAAUGGCUCCAAAGGCUACCCUGUCAUGUUUAGCAUAUCAAAAAUUGAGUUUUUUUAUUGUAAGUUGCAUUCUCUGAGUGAUAAUAAUUCCAAAGGGGGUUUGAGUGAGAAUAACUCCACAAGUGAGAAGACUAGCCCAUCCCGAGUGAGAAUAACUCCAAAGACUAACUUAUGCAUUUUAUCAUAUCAAAAGCCGGGUUUUUUUACUUUCAUAGUUGUACCUACCCUUUAAAAUGCAGGAAAGUAUAGCCCUAUUAUGCAUUCGACAUCCACCUGAUAUUCUAAACUCAUCAUCUUUUCAUAAGAACCCAAUAGUUCUUGCAUUUUAGACUGAUUUAUUUGGUAGCUACUUUGAACAUUCUUUCAAAUUUUACAUGGCAAACUUCAUCCCAAACAUCUCUACUUCUUAUCGCUCCAGUUCUCAAAAUGAUGAUGAGACAAUUCUUAAUAGUGCAACAAUGUUACUAUUUACACCUAAAGCAGAACAAUAGGAUGGCCCUCUUAUCAAAGUGCUCUACUGCACCGGAGAUAUGCCUGGUUGGAAAUGGGUGCAGGAGCUAAUAAAUUGUCACUUGCUAUGUAUAUUGGAGAAUUGUCAAAUAACAGUCGACAAUUUCAUGAGACUUAACGAAAUCCUUGUUUAAAAUAACUACGUCCCACAAAAUCCCCAUAAGCAUGUGUCAAUUAAGAAGUCGCUAGCCAUGGCUCUAGUUAUGUUGAGUCAUAGCUUACGGACCCGAGUAGUAGUCGAGAGAUUUCAACACUCGACCAAAACCAUCCAUAGAAAUGUAGCGAAAAUACUAUUGGAACUUUGUAGAUUUGCUCAAAGGAUUAUUUGACCAACACAAGCAAAUGUUGUGCAUCCACGAAUACGAUAUAGCACCAAGUAUUAUCCUUGGUUCAAGGUUAGAGAUGGUCAAAUUCCUGCUACUUUUAUUAUGAUAAGUAAUAUUUUUUCCAAGAGUUCCUCUUUUCAUGUCAAGUUUUUUUUAUGUCAAAUUAUGCAAAUAACAAAUGGAGCCUGCCCGUACUUAUAAGUUAAUUAUAAAAAUGACAUAUUUAAAGCUCUUACUCUAAUCAAAUCUAGUGGCAUACUACAUCUUUGAUGCCUACCAAAUUUUUGGUUCCAAUGACUAUCAAAAUCUUUAAAUAAAAUGCAGGACGCUAAAGGUGCUAUAGAUGGCACUCAUAUCCCUGCUUCGGUUCCUAUAAUUGAGCAACUUGCCUAUACUAAUAGACAUGGUACUCAAUCGUAAAAUGUUUUAACUAUAUGUGACCAUGAUAUGCGAUUUGUUUAUAUGUAUGCCGGAUGGGAAGAUAGCAUACAUGAUAGUGCAUUGAGAAUGCAUACUGACUUUCCAGUUUCGCCCCCAGAUUCGAUCCUAGAGUACUUAUUUGAAGUGCUAAAAAUAAACAUGCGGGUAUUUUUGUAUUUAUACAAGUUUUUUAGAAGUUAUCACAUCUACGGGUAGGCUCUUCAAAUUUCUCCAUUGGGUUGCGGGUUAUUGUUUUCACUACCAUUUCUUUUUUAAGGUACAGCUGUCAGAAUUAAUCCAAUAGAAUAAAAUGUUAGUGAUUAGUUUGUUUUCUUCCAUUUAAAUUUGUUUUGACUAUGAUAUCUAGUGGUUGUCAAUAUAUAUUUUUGUCAUCAAAAGAAGAAAGAAAAAGUAGGGAAAAUACAAGGCCAAGGCUUCAUGAAUAUGUAAAACGAUAAUAUAGUGAAAAGAAUAGAAUGACAAAUGUCAACCCAAAUCAAACCAUGACCCUAGCAGUAGGUAUCAAUAACGAAACCCAAGUAAGUUUGGUAAAUGAAUGUUAGACUUGUGCAGGUCCAUGGUUGUAAAUAAGGAAUAAUCUGGUCUCUCAAAUGUCACUGGGAACUAAGUUGGAACUUGGAACUAAAACUAAUGGAUAAAAACCCGCCACUAAUUUGGCCUUGGACACAAGCAAUAUGUAAAUCAAUAAAUAUACUACCAAAAAUAGAAUAAUUCGUGAUUUGCAUAUUAACAUAUUAUCAAUUUUAAUUAUUUAAACCAAUAGCUGUGGUUUUAGUCCAAUUAGUUCGUGAAACUCUUGUUUUUUUUUGUCCUUGGUUAAUAUUCACAUUGGGUUAAAUCGAAGCAUAUUUCGAAUUUAAUAAAAAUAUUUGGUGUACUUAUUUAUCGCUAAAUUAUUGCCAUAAAUAGUACAACAUUUAUUUUGACAUCAAUCAUGGUGUUAAAUUUAUAAAGGUAAGUACUACCUGGUAGACGCAGCAUACAAGAUCGUGUUGGGAUUCUUAGCACUAUUCAAGGGAGGGCAUGAUACAGGAGUUAGACAAGGACGUCAACGAGGCCAAGGGCCGAAGGCGCUAUUCAAUACCUGCCACUCCUAGCUUCGGAACAUAGUUGAAUGUGCUUUCAGUGUCUUGAAGCGACGAUUUGCCUAUUUGAAGGUGCUCGUACCAUAUUCCUAUAUGCAAAAGCAGAUCAACGUAGUGAUUUUGUGUUGUGCAUUGCACAAUUUCUUAAGGAAAAAUCAACCUUCGGAUAAUCACUUCCUACGGUAUGAACAAGAGGACAUACAAGUCCAAGGCGAAAAUGGUGGUAGUCCAUACCCACAUAUACAACCAUUGGCUGUGUCACCGCAUGAGAUAGAAGCUUGGCAGGCAAUGAGAGAAGAAAUUGCUAAUCAAAUGCAUGCCGCUUCACGCAGUGAAGGCAAUAGUUGGAUGACUGCAAUGGCCAACUAUAGGACCAGGUUGAAUCUAUGGAAGUUUUACCCUUUAUGUUGAAUGAGGAAGAGAAAAAUGGUGAUAUCAGUGGCCUUAAUUACUUCUAUCCUUUUAGUAGUUAUUCCAAGGGGUGGAUUAGUAGGACAAAAUGUUGCGUACUACAAAAUAGGGACAACAAUAAACUUGUAUUACGGCAUUAUAAGUUUGUAUUGUGUGUUGAAUUAGUGUACUGGCGUCUAUGUACCAUAUACUUGCAUUUGAAUGUGCUAUUUUACUAAAACAGUUUAGCAGACCAUCUCAAUCUACUAAAUGCAGAAGUUAAGAUCUUAGAAAUUAGAGAAUUUCGGUACUAAUUCAUCACUCCAAAGAUAGUGAUUUAUUUCCACCCGUCCCUUGUUAGGAGAAAAAAAAUCUAUUAAUACCAAAAUUACUUGUAGCAUUUAAGUACCUAAAAUGUUCCUAAAUGCAUGGAAGGCUACUAGUAAAAUUUACACUUGGAGAAAACCAAUUCUUCUAGUUCCUGACCCGAUAGCAUAAAGUUGGUCAAGAUCAAGAGGUUGGAAGUAACCGUUGGUAUGGAUGGCUCUAACUUGGUUCUCCUAUCCAUUUGCUUCCUUGGAAUCGGUGGACACUCCAAGAAUUCAUGUAUUUGGCAUUCUUGUUUCUUGGGAGCUGUGACUCUUCCUGUUGCAUCUCUAUUCCUACCAACCUUACCUAGUUUUGGUAGCCAGAUAGUAUGAUUAUUCAGUAAGUUCAGGCUAACAACAAAAAGAACUUGAUCUAGUAUUGACUCUUUUUCAGAAUUUCAACAAAAUGGGUUGUACUAAUCGAGCGGAUAAAGAACAGAACUGUGGUUGAGUUGUUGAGCAAAAUGGAUUGGUAUACUUAUGACACGUUUCUUCUUCCUUGGUAUGUCAGAUGGACUGGUAAUAUUUUGGUAUGUCAAAUGUCCAUAGAAGUGUUGAAGCUCAAACAAAGCUAUCUGCAAAGGAAAAGACAUCAUGUCCACCUUAGCCCUCAUAUUCAUCACCUCCCUAUUCAUAAUUCUUCUCUCUUCUAUACCCAAGAAAUUAUAUAAUCUCACAAACCCACUUCUAGAAACUCCAAUACCAUGGCCAGUUAACCGAAACCUCCCACACAUGGGCACCAAAACCACGCGCACUUACAGUCCAGUGAUGCAUACCUGACUUGGUUGUGUGCAUGUGGUGCAACCAGCCUCGGCGUCUAUAGAUGCAUGACCAUUUAAAACGAAAUUGAGACAGAAAUUUUCUAGCUGGCCACCAUACUCUGGUCCAAGGAUAUUGGCCUUUUGAAGCUGCAAGAUUCCUUUUUGCAGCUUAUGGUCCCUUGUGAAGGCUGCAAAUCUACAAUUUGCUCGGACUUGCUAACUUCUCAGCAACAAGUUUGGACGACUUCCACUUUGUUCAAAAGAGCAAAUAUAUUUGCAACUUCAUGAGAUAGGUCCAUGCACAUGAAGUUGGAAAAGUACUGCAUGAGAUGGUUGGAAAGGCUAAUGGAAAUAAGUGGCAAUCCAACUAAUGCACCCACGUGGAACAGCCCGCCUGGAAAUACGUGAAUAGUGAAUAUCCGACCAAUUAUUGCAAUCCAAACAAGUUUUUGUUAUCCGAGUUAUUUGGAUUUGAUAAAUAUUAUGUGAACUAAUAUUCCAAAUAAUAGAUAUCCAAAUAACCUCAAUGUACCUUUGUGGCAGACUCAACAAGGGGCUACAAAGGAAAAAAAAUUUUCAAAAAAAGUAACGUUUUGGACAUUAAAAAUAAGGAAGGGAAAAGGGACAUGUUGGAGGACCAAGGUACACCAUAUUUUUGGCCAAUACCCAAUCAAAUAUAUAUAUAUAUAUAUAAAUUUCUCAAUAGCUCAACUGAUGCAAUUAGAUUAUGGGAUCAUUUCAAAAACUUCCCUUGAAGUUUCUAACUAUUUCACUUAAUUUUGUUGAAGUUUUAAAAAUUAUACUUACCUCCCUUGAUACUCAAACCUUAAAAUAAGGUCAAAAAUUUAAUGAAUACCCUAAAAUGCCAUUAUCUUAUAAAAUUUAAAUUUGUUCUUCUAAACAAUUGUAAAAUAAUUUGGCACAAUUAUAAAAGAAAAAGGGUCCCUAGUUUUUCACGCCAAUAUUUGUUGUUUGAUAAUUAACUAUCACAAUAAAUAUUUUGAUAUAAUCACGCCAAUAUUUGUUGUUUGAUAAUUAACUAUCACAAUAAAUAUUUUGAUAUAAUGACUAUUUUUUAUAGUCCUUUAUUGGGAAUAUAGAUUCUUUUUAAAAUAGAGAAGAAAGUACUAUCUUGUUUUUUUCUUUUAAGUUUAUGGACUAUUUUUUUUAAUAAAAGAUUAUGGACUAGUUUAAUGAUGGAACUACCAUAGUUUGGUAGUGAUUUUGGGUCAUUUAUUUUUAAUUAUUAUUGAUUUAUUCUUAAUUUUAAUACCAACAAAUGUUACAAAAAAUUGGAUGAUAUUAAAAGUUAUCAAAAAAUAUUACUUCCUUUGUCCCAUAUAUUUAAUCAUGUUUGGAAAUAUGUGCUUUUUAUACAUAAUACACUCCACUAAAAUUUUUUUCCUUCCGUUCCACUUUUGCCUUUAAUCAUGUGCUGAUCAAAGUAAAAAGUAGAAAGCAAUCACAUCACAUUUGUCUUUAUGCAUCAUUAAUGAAGGGUAUAAGGGAAGUUUUAAAAUAUAAAGUAGUUAGAAAUGUCAACUAUGACAAAUAUUUUGGAAGAGUCAAGAAAUGAAAGUAUGAUGCUUUCAAUGGAAUGGAAGGAGUACUAGUUAUGAGUUUCGUAUAGUUAUGAGUUUGUCAAGGCAAAAAAAGAUAUGAAAAGAAAAAGAAAAACAAAAAGUAGAAAGAUAAAGAGGAAAAUUGGGAAGAGAUCCAAAGGGGAGGGAGAAGCAAAGUGUGCUUCUUUUUUUUGACGUGGUUGAUAGGAAGUCUAUGUGGAAAAUAAGAAAUUAGAAAAGCAAUAAAAUUAGAAACUGCAUCAAUUUGGGUGUAUUUUUUCAAAAGAGUAUUAUUUUGGGAAUAAGCUUCAAAAACUUGUAUAAACGGCAAUUUUUUUGUGUAAUAAUAGAUAUAGAGAGAGAGAGAGAGAAAUUUUCCAAAGGGUUCAUUACAAAAACUCCCCAUAUAGUAUUACCAUUUUUGCAAUUUCUCCUCUAACAUUAUUUUUGUCUCACUUUAUUCUCUAAACUGUUAAUCAAAUGAUGCCUAGUAUAAUAGAAUAUCAAAAAAAAUUAAUACCUCUAAAAGUUAAGUACAGUAAAGUCACUUACAAUAUAGCUUGUUUAGCGUUUUAUCCUCUACGUGUACAAAAUGUCGAAGUUGACAAAUGAUUUUGGGAAAUAGACAAAUAGAGAGAAAAAUAAUAUUAAGUGGUAAAGUGCAAAAUGCACUGUACCUUAAGAGAAUUUACUGUAAUUAACCCUUAUAUCUAGUUUGGAAGAUUAGAUUUGAUAAGAAAUGAAAAGAAAGGAGAACAAAAACUUUCUUUCUGCCGUUUGGGACUUUUUGAGAGAUAGAAAAGAAAGGAAAUCAAAGGAUUUGGAUGGAUGGUAUGUUGCUGCUAUGGUUGCUAUACUUUUCCACCCAAAUAUGGCCAAAAAGCAAAGGAAAGUUGAGAAAGCCUAACAAAAUUUUUUAAAAUGUUCAUUUUAUUCUCAAAUGUGUAUUGAACAAAUUUUAUUAACAUAUAUAUCCCAAAUCAUCCCAUUUCUUACUAAACCUCCAAAUAACAUUAAAAUCUCUUUCCUUCUUUUCUGUUCCUUUCUUUUCUUUCAUAACUUAACAUUUCUCUUAUUUUCCUUCCUAUUCUAAACUCCCAAACUAGCUAUUAGGGAUAACAAUGCUUUUUUGAAAUUUUCCACAAGCAAAGUAAAUCUCAACUAACAUUUAGGGGUAAAGUGAGACAAAAUUAACGCUAAGGUAUAAAAUGCAAAAGUGGUAUGAUCCUACCUUCAAUCAUCUUGGGAGUUAUAAGAUUGAAUUGUAGGUAGAAUCAUAGAAUUGUGAAUCUUACUAAAGAUCCAAAAAAUUGACAUAUUAUUUUAUAUAUUAGCUUAUUAGCACCAAAAAUACAUCUAUUUUAUAUAUAAAGGAAGAGCAUUUAUUUUGUGGAAACUUUUUUGUCACCUUUCAAUUUUCAACUUUGCCCUCAUGAUCAUUUAAUCAUAUCUUUAUCAUCUAAUUGCAUCUUGCUCAUGUAGCCAACUAGUGUAAUCACAACCAAUUUUCACCCAUAACCACCUACAAACAUUGUAACCACCAAAUUAAUUAAAAUUCUAUUCAAAAAAUUUUUAAGAGAUCAAAAUUUUUUUUGUUUAUGAAAAUUUUAUACUAAAUUCUUUCAUACAAAAAAUGAUUCCUAAAUUGCACACACAUCGUGUGUGCCUUAUAACUAGUGCAAAUAAGUAUAGGGAUUUAGACUUUUUUCAAAAACUAUUUUUGUAUUUUGUGUUUGCAGUAACACUUCAAAAGCACAUGUAAUGUCAAAGGAAACUUACAAAAAUACCAAAAGGAAAAAAAAAAAAAACAAAUCGUACGAUAUUUUCUUCUUCUACCCGCCACCAUCACUUACCACAGACCACCACCACUACUACCACCAUUCCCCACCCCUCUCUUCUCCUCCUCCCCUACCCUAUUUCCCUAUCCCCUCUCUUGCCCUGAUACUCACAAUCAAAUGGAGAUAAUUUUCUGGGAUAGACCCUCCACUUUAUAUGCAUUACCGGAUUGACAAGGUGGAUUCCUUGUGCCUUGCUAAAGUUCAGAAGAGUAAAUAAUGGAGGAAAAUCUCAAAUAUGUCCAAGAGGCGUUUUCUGAUCUCUUCUAAUUCAAUUGAUUGGACUAUAAUCAAGAGAAAGUAUUCAUAUUUCAUAUGGAAUGAUCUCCACAUUAUUGAUAAACGUUGGAUCAAAUAGAUGUAUAGUAUAAAUUGUUCGUUGGAUUAGUUAGAUGUGUAGUAUUUCUUUUUGGCGGUGUAACCCUUGAAACACAUCUUUUUAAUGAUUUCCUUCCUUUUUCACUUUCAUGUUCUUAAUUUGCUAUAAUUAUAUUCCUGAAAUCACAGUAUGACAUUUCAGGAAUUGCUUUUUUAGCUUUUCUAUCAAAACAAAUUUUCCAUCUUAUUUAGAUGGGGAAAGUGAGGGGAGGGGGGUGGUAGGGGAAGGGAGGGGAGGAGAUAAGAGGGGAAAGGAGGAGAAAGGGGGAGAGGGAAGAGGAGGAAGGAGGGGAACAAGAGCAGGAGGAAAGAGGGGAUGGAGAGAGGAGGAGGGAGGGGAUGGGGGAUAGGGGAUGGUGGUGGUGGUGGUUUUAAAUUUUUUUAAAAAUACUUCAAAAAAAUUUAAAUUUCAAGAAUACCUCAAAAUAUAUCCCAAAAAUUCUCAAAAAUACCUUCCAAAAAUAAUUGACUAUGUACAAUUAAAAAUUUUCAUAUACAUCACUAUAGUAAAAUACUUAAUCCAUACAAAAUCAUGAAAAAUAUAAUUGUGACUAGAAAAAAUUAAAGUCUAGUCGUUCAACUAAAAUAUUGAUUUAUUGCAUCAUAUGCUAUUUAACAAGAUUGUGAAUUACAUUCAACAAUUUAUUCUAUUUGUUGUCCAAAAAUUUGAAAACUAAAUAUGAUGUAAAAAAAUUCGUUAUGCAAUAUACAUUUAAUGAUUAAAAUGCUUUAAGUGCAAAAAUGGAAAACUAUUUUCAUAAUUAGCCAUUUUAUCCAAAAGUUUAGUUGGGAACAGGUAAUUUGUUGUUUUAGUUAGUAAACAUCACCCGGGUCAACGUGAAAUGCGUCUCCUCGUGGCUGUCCUGGGACAGAAAUUGGAUGCAUCGCCCUUGUGUCUGGCCCAUUUCUUUUUAUUCAUUUCAUGUUCAUCGGCCCUUUUUUCAUUUUUAUUUUUUUCAAUGAAGGUCCAUCUCUGCUGUCAGUCACAUGAACCAACCCAUCAGUCAUCACCAUCACCAUCCCAACCGAAUGAAUUCAGGGAUAAUUGUAGAAACCUUCAUGAGAUUUCUUACACUAACACUCACCUCACUUGUGGUUUUUAAAAUAGCACUGACCUCCCCUAGAAGGCAAUUAAACCUAUUGCUGAUAAUAAAUUAUAUGAAUUUACUUUGAUACCCUAACUAAUUGUAGAAACUUAAUGAACAAAUUUUCACUUACUAAAAACAACUUUGUCUUAUUAGUGUGCAUUUCUAGUUACUUGUAACUAGGUUUAUCUCAUAGUAACUUUUAAUGAUGUUUAAGUAUGCUGUUAAUUAACUGAUUGCUCAAUAAUAUAUAUACAUAUAUAUAUAUAUAUAUAUAUAUAUAUAUAUAUAGUAUAUGAUUGAUACUGACAAUAUAGAGAAUUGUGUUACUCUCUAUAUUGAUACUGACAAUAUAGUAUAUAGUAUAAGUAGUUGUGUUACUCUCACAAAUAACUAUUCACCUUACUAAUAAAGAGUUUUAAAAAUGAGAUGCAUUCUUUAUAAGUUUUGCUACAAGAAUCUGAAUAUAUAGUUGUUUAACUAGCCGUUAGUAUCCACCGUUGCUUCAUGUAUUGUUGGUAAAUUUCAUUCAAUUGCACUUACACUCCUUGAAUUUUACUAAUUCUUAAUUGCUUUUCAUAUUUUAUCAUUCCUCUAUUAACACAACUUGGCAAACGGUGUGAAGGGCAAAUCUACUACAAAUUUCACAUCUUACUCCUUAAAACAAUCUUUUAAUAGCAACUUUUUCGGCAUGGACUGAAUCUGCAAUAAAAUUCUUAAGUUCAAAGGUGGUCAGUACUAUUUUCUAAAUCACAAGAGAGGUGAGUGCUAGUGUCUAAAACCUUAGGGGACGUUUAUGAAAUUUUCCCAUAAAUUAAUAGAAGCUUUAACCUUGUUGCCCGGUUUCCAGUCAACAUAAAAUGCCUCUGCACUCCGGUCAUUUGCGUCACCAUUUUUUGAGGCAAUACGGGCAAGGUCCAAAGUUUUUCUCCCCAUUAAGGAUGAAAUUCCUUCUCCCCACCAUAGUCGCAUUCAUAAAAAUAUUAUCCUUAUAAUUAACACAUUUGUUGUAAAAAAUGUUGUCUAAGUAAACAAAGUUCAACAUGUUUAAAUGUUUAUACUUUUUUUAUAAAAGAGACAAAUGUAAUCUUUAUUUUCUUUUCCUUUUUGCAAUAGGUGUGAUCAGUUGCUCUUUGUUAGCAAAAAAUUUAACCUUUUUAUAGCAACAUUUUAUAAUAAAACCACCUUUUUUUUCUUUUUUUUUUGUCUACUUUACAUGUGCUCUUUAGACAUCGGAUUAAAAAAAGGCAUAACACAAAUAAGGGAAACUACCAAAAUAGUCCCUUAAAUUUCAGGAAAAAAUUAUUUUUUGGUCCCUCACAUAUAACAAAUAAACCAAUUUUUGGUCCCAUAACCUAUUUACAAGCAAUUGUUGGCCAAAAAAUACACAUCCAUGCCACAUGCUCAUAUUUUUCAGGAGCAAAAUAUGAGAAGAAUAAUUUUCUCCUAAAAAAUGAAAAGCCUUCUACCUCCACUUAUGGGAGGGAAGGGAACUGGCAGUGGGAGGAUUUUUUUUUUUUUUCAAAAGAAAAAUGUUACUUUUGUUCCUAUUUCGUUCAUGAAAGUAUAAGCUUGUGGCUUGAACGUGUAUUUUUUGGUGAGAGAUUUAGUUGAAAAUAGGUUCUGAUGCCAAAUUAAUUCAUUUGUUAUAUGCGAUUAAUUACUUUGCACCAUUUUAUAUGCAACGGAGCAAAAAAGAAUUCUAUUGAAAUGUAAAAAGCCAUUUUGGUCUCCCAACAAGCAAUACAACUGUUUUACACAAAACAUCAUGAAGUUUCUGGUCUACAAGACAACAACUACGUAAUAGGUCACGUGAGAAAAGAGUGGGGCACUUGGGAAUGGUAAAGAGAGCUCAGGAGUCGGAACUAGGGCUGCAAACAAGUCGAAUCGAGUCGAACUUUGAGCUAAUCGAAUCGAGUUUCGACUAAAUUUUAUCAAGCUCGAUCUCGAGUUCGACGAACCGGUAAAUUUCGAGCUCGAGCUCGAGCACGAAAAAAAAUAAAAAAUAAUUAUUUUAUUUUAAAAAUAAUAAUAAAAUAAUAUUUUUUUCUUAAUAAAUAAUAAAAUAUUAAGGAUAUAUACGUAAUUUUACUAUGAAAAUAAAAAAUAAAAAAAACUAUAUAUAUAAUAUACGUAAUUUUAUCAUUAAAUAAAAAAUAUAUAUAUAUAUAUAUACCCAAGCUCUAACGAGCUUAAUAUUCUGAGUUCGAGCUUGACUCGAGCCGACUCGAGCUCGAGUUUGACUCGAGACGGCUCGAGCUUGACUCGAGCCGCUCGCGAGCGGUUCGACUCGUUUGCAACCCUAGUCGGAACCCGAUACUACCCACCAAAGAACCAAAACUUCUAUUGCAUCCAAAAACUCUAUUGCAUCAAUUGUGAAAUUGAAUUUUAAUCUUGAUGUAGUUGACCAAUUUCAUUCUUCAUUAGUUUUCCCCCCGCCGAAAAAAAAAAAACAACUUAGUGCUCAAUGAGGAUAGUUGACCAAUCUGGGAUGGAUUGAAGCCCUCAACAUUCAUGAACCACAAAAGUUCAGUUUGGGUCAAUUGUGAAAAUGAUUUGCAAUUUUCAAUGGUUGAAAACUCGCAAUACGAUGAUUUUUUUUUUUUUUUACUGUAAAUGGAAGUUUCAGGUUUAAAAUCUUUCACUUAUACUCAUUCCACUAGUAUUAUUUAGCUCAUUCUUUUCCCUUGUAAUACAAGGGAUAUGAUUGACAAAAUCUCUGUAUCUAUUGAAACAAAUACGUAUUCUACUAUUCUUGUCAACAUUUACAAAAGGGACAAAAAGGAAAAAGAAAAAGAAAAAGUAUGUUUUUAAAUGAAUGGUGCAACCUUUAAAUGCAUUUUAUCUUUCGUACAAAAAAAAAAGAAAAAGAAAAAGACUGUUAGGCUGAAAGAGUGGAGUGUGAUAUAAUCCAGUUCACCCCCUCCCCAACAAUUUGCCAUUAACAAUUAUUUAAAGACUCGUCUUACAUAAUCCCGAAAUCUACGAAAUAGGGUACCUUCCUGUUCAUGCAAAGUCUUCACUAAUAAUUUAAAAGUUCUGUAAAUGAACAACAAUAAAUUGCAAUAUGACAAUAAUUUCUUCAAUAUUGCUGAUUGAGAGAUUCUACACACAAAAUAUUACUGAUUGAGAGAUUUGAAACCCCUUGCCUGCGCUGCAUUAAUUUUCUUGAAAAACUUUCAAAGGUAGUUUAUUUUCUUCUGAAUUCUCCAUAGCCUGGUUGAAUCCAUCCCCGCAACCUUCCCUCAUGGCAUAGGACUAGUUGUAAAAAUAUUUAAAAAAAAACACAGGAUUCUACUCUCCAAGUCUUUAAGCCACUAGCCAAAAAAAAAAAAAAAACUACUUCACGUACUACUUCAGAUUAAAAAAUAAAUAAAUGACUCGUACAGUGGGAGUUUGAAAUGCUUCCGAGUAAAAGUUUUCUACGGUUUAAACUGGUUGAUCAGCAGACCUAUAUCCGGAUGACUUGUAAGUAGGCCUGUCAACGGGUCGGGUCCGGGUCGGAAUCAAUAAAUCCGAACCCGGACCCGUAAUACCGUAUUAAUUCCGGACCCGACCCAAAUACCCGACGGGUCUCUUAAUCUCUAUUUGGAACCGCACCCGACGGGUCCCGGGUCCGGGUCGGGCCUACCCGAAUAAGACCAGUAAAAAAACCUGAUUUACACCUUCAUCUUUAUCCUUGCCCUCAUUUUAUUAUCUGCCUGAGAUCCUUUCUUUCUAUCAUCUUCACCUUUUCUGCUGACCUUAAUAACUAGUUAUAGCAAUCAAGCGCAUUUUUCCAUUUUUCAUAAUCUAGACGCAUUAUUAUUGAAUUUUGCUCCUCGAUUUUUGGAGUGCAAAAUCUUUCAAAUAACUUUGUGCAGAGACCAAAUAAUAACAAAUUAUUUUCUUGGUGAAAAUUAGAGGCCGAGCAACAGGGCUUUUGGAUUUCUUUCUUUUUUUUUUUCCUUUCAACAAGAACCUCUCAAAUGCUUGGGAGUGAUCCACUUGCCUACUUUAUUGUCAUGGUAUCAUAUCUUGUAGUAGCAAAAAAACAAAGAGCCAGUUGCUGCACAAUCCAAUAACUAUCCAGCAAACUUUGCAUUUGAGAUGAGGUUACCGAAAGAAUGCGAUGCAAAUAUCGUCCACUUUCAAUUGUAGGUUUGACGUUUUCUGGAGACGUGCCUUCUCCUUUACAAUUGUUUUCGGCUUUUCUAAUUUUUCUUCUCCCUAUUAAAUAAAAGGGGGAUAAAAAAAGGUAAAGCAGACGAGACAAGAAAGCUGGCCUGCUGGAAGCCUGGAAGAGCUGGAAGUGUUGGGCUUCGACCGGAGCUGCAACCGCCAGGCGUCAGAGAUGGAGAGAGCUCGCCGGCGUCAGAGAUAGAGAGUGCAAGAGAGAAGACAGUGAGACUGGACUGGGUUGGGCUUCUUUGGAGCUGGCCAGACUCGACGGUAACGAUGAUAGCUGGGCUUCUUUGGAGCUGGAGAGAGUCGAGAGCGUCGCCGGAGAUGGAGAGAUGGAGCUGGAGAAUGGAGAUGGAAGAGCGGACUGGUCAGUGGUCACUAGCGGAGGUGGGAGGCAGAGCAAAAGAGAAAAGAGAGUGAGGGGAAAAGGGAGGUGCAGGUGCGGCGAUGGGUAUUAGGGUUCGAAAGAAUUGGGAAUGAAAUUAUGAAAGUAGUAUUGGUAUGAAUAAUUGAUAGAUAGGUAUAUAUAUUUUAAUUAUUAAUUAAUUAAAACGGGUCCGGGUCGGAUACGGGUCGGAAUGGUAUAUCCCGUUUCCGACCCGCAAAUGUAUUAGAUAAUAUGGGUUCGGGUCCGGGUCCGGGUCGCGGGUCUAUAUUCCUACCCAUACCCGCCAAAUGUUGGCGGGUUCGGGCCGGGUCCGGGUCCAGACCCGGACCGUUGACAGCCCUACUUGUAAGGAUCAAUAACAUUCAAGCUUUCUCAUAUCCAUCCUCACGUCGGACUAAAUCAAACGAAACCAACAAAGAACCCCCAAGGACAAUAAUUGUACCAUUUUUUCAAGGGAAAAAAACACAAAUCUUUAUAAUUUAUUGAUCAUUCAAGUCGAUAUUGUUAGCUUGUCUAUGUACACGUUCCUUAGAGAUUAUACACGUUCGGCUGUUCUGAAUUCAGUCAACCCCUGCAAACACAAGCAACUGCAACAGGCUACACAAGCACAUAACUAUUUCAUAGAAGACAAAUUCCAUUUCAUAAUGGCGGCACAUAAAAUAAUGCAUCAGACAGAAAAGCAGCUAAGAAACCACGCAAAAAUAACCACUGUUAUCAAAUUGUAAGGGAAAAGUUGCACAGUCAAAAUCGGGUCGCACAUUCAAGAAUUCUUCCCUUUAAACCCGAAAUUUAAUAUGAUUCUGAAGUAUGCUGAAUCUACAAAUGGAACAAACAUCUGGGGUCAUGGACACAAGUAUUUGAGGUGUUCAUGAGGUCACCAAAUCUGAAUUCCAUUAAUGAGCUACAGCAAUUCUUCCA
rnacentral:lncRNA from 1 species